CGCAUCGCCGGAGAACUGAGCAGCCAGCUAGGAGGGCGGUGGCGAGGCCAAUCCCCCCAGGGCGCCACGCCUCUGUGCGAGGAGGGCAUCGAAGACGAUGCAGGGUGGGCGCGGCGGAUCCAACAUCGUCGUGGAUCUGCCGCUGCCGCACUAGAUCUGGUCGGAGCGGUCGACAGCAAGGACGUCAGCGUGGCGAUGAGGCUGCGAGGGCAAAGGCAGCGAGAGACCCGUGCAGCUGAUGGCAAGGAGGCGCAGCUAGGGUGGCGCGGUGGUCUGGCGGCUAGCAGCUGGGCAUCGACGUCAUCUCCGUUGGAGCUGACGGUGGUGCUCGAGACCUCGGGCGGCGGCCGGAUUCGACGAGGAAGGCCUGGUGACAGUGCGCAAGAGAGAGGCGGCAGAGGAAAAGGAGUUGGUGGCGGUGGUUCGUCUUCCUCAUUGCUGGUCGGCACCCUAUUCCUUUCUGGAGCUUCUCCCCUCCUUCGUGAGGAGUUUUUAGGUCGGGUUGAGGCAGUUGCUGGUCAACGAGGGAAGCUCAAGUUGCCGAACCAAUGUCGUUCAGCCUCGAGUUCUACUUUGGCUGAACAUGGCAAGAAGGCUAGCUAG
rnacentral:lncRNA from 1 species